UUAAGUUCAGCGGGUAUUCCUACCUGAUCCGAGGUCAACGUUCAGAAAGUUGGGUGUUUUACGGCGUGGCCACGUCGGGUUUCCGGUGCGAGGUGAUAGUACUACGCAGAGGUCGCCGCGGACGGGCCGCCACUCCAUUUCGGGGCUGGCGGUAAGCUGCCAAUCCCCAACGCCGGCCUCCCCAAAGGGAGCCCGAGGGU
rnacentral:misc_RNA from 1 species